AAAAAAUUUUAUUUUAGUUUAUUUAAUAAAUUUAUAAAAUUAAUUUAUAUGUAAAUUUUUGUAUUUAUUAAUGAAAUUUUAAAUAAAUUUUCAUUUUAAAUUAAAUUCGCAGUAUGUCAUUUUAAUUAUAUAAGAAAUUAUGAAUUAGAUAUUUAUUUUAAUAUUAACAAAAUUUGUGCCAGCAGUUGCGGUUAUACAAAUAAUAUAAUUUAUUAUUUUUAAUAAAUAAUUAAUUGUUAUAUAAAUAUAUAAUAAUAAAUAAAUUAUUAAGUGAAAUUUUAAUUUAUUAAAAUUUUUUAUUAUAUUUUUUGAAGUUAUUAAAUUUUAUUAGAAACUAGGAUUAGAUACCCUAUUAUUAAAAUGUAAAAUUAAAUGUUUAGUUAUUAAUAGUUAUAGUCUUUAAAGUUAAAAAUUUUGGCGGUAUUUUAGUCUAUUCAGAGGAACCUGUUCUAUAAUUGAUAAUCCACGAUUAGAAUUACUUAUUUUAAAAAUUUAUAUAUCGUCGUAGUUGAAUAUUUUAUUAGAUUUUAAAUAUUCAUGAUUUAUUUUAUAAAAAAAAUCAGAUCAAGGUGUAGUUUAUAAAUAAGAAGAAAUGGGUUACAAUAAAUUUAUUUAUGGAUAAAAAUAUUAAAAAUUUUUUGAAAAUGGAUUUGAAUGUAAUUAAAUUUAUAUAGAUAAAAUGAUUUUAGCUCUAAAAUAUGCACAUAUCGCCCGUCGCUCUCAAUUAAUUUGAGAUAAGUCGUAACAAAGUAAAUGUACUGGAAAGUGUAUUUAGGUAGCA
rnacentral:ncRNA from 1 species